rnacentral:rRNA from 1 species
CGCAACCCCUAUGUUUAGUUGCCAGCAUGUAAAGAUGGGGACUCUAAACAGACUGCCUAUGCAAAAAGAGAGGAAGGAGGGGGGGACGUCAAGUCAUCAUGGCCCCUAUGUCCGGGGGUACACACGUGCUACAAAGGGCCGUACACAGGGGGGCCACCUGGCGACAGGGUGCCAAUCUCAAAAAAACCCUUCCCAUUCCGGUUGGAGUUUGGCAAC